rnacentral:hammerhead_ribozyme from 1 species
AUUCAUCUGACGAGUCCCAAACGGAACGAAACCCGAGUCCUGGGU